UUCUUCCUCCAUCACGAUCUCCGCAGCCUUCACUCAGCCGACACGUCGAUCGGGAUUCUCUGCCUGGAAACGCCGCAAAUCGGAACCGGCGGCCGACACAGACGGAGCGGUCUCGCGGGCUUCGUGGGGGUCGAUUAGGCGCGACUCUUUCUCCUGACUGAAGAUGGGAAGUGAUCAGAGCCAUGAGAGGAAGGCUGAAGAGACUGAGAAGGAAACUGAAAAACACGAGCAGUGUGACAAAACCGAGGAUGCGACUCCUAAAGAGAUGCCAGGAGAGCUGCCCCAGUGCAGGAUGGGAAACAGGAGGGUGGACAACAUGUGUUUCAUGAUCUCGUGCACUAACUGGUACUGAACUGGUCCCCGUGUGUUGGGCUCACGAUGAAACAGAAGCACACUGGAGGAUCUGUCUGCAUCUGUGCUGCUAAAACGACAAAUGCACCUGACUUCACUUUCCUUAAAUUCAAAACCAAGACUAAUGAUAAAAGGAAGAGAUGGAAAAGGAUUUCAAACGAUGGGUCACAAGAUUCGUGGGCUGUGUGGGAUGCUUGGAUUUCUAGUCAUGCCAAUAAAGACUGAGCAAAAGUAAA